UCUCCCCAGAAGGGAUGCCAGGAGGCUAACUCUACUACACCUGGUUCCUUUUCUCCCCAUGCAGGCAGAAUACAAACAGAAAGUAGGAAAUUAGAUGGCAGAUUACUACUGGAUACCAAGGCCUGCAUAGAGUGGACCUUCACAUUCACCCAGCCCAGUUGUGAUGUAGGAAACAGCAGAACAAGGAGCCAGUCCUCUCUGACGCAUUACAGAAAGACCGUGCAUAUUCCGUCAUUCUAUGUACAGCUCCUGAAGAAAAACGGAUGUUAAAGAUGCUUAGUGUACUCUGGUGCAUGCCAGUAUGAAGCUCUCGUGUGGAAGAGAUAGAAAAGGCAAAGUAUACCAUUCUGAUAGAGUUCUCUUUUCUGGACAUAAAAGCAAGC
rnacentral:lncRNA from 1 species